rnacentral:lncRNA from 1 species
AAUGGGGGUUUAAGUGUCAGGAGGUGAAAGUUGCCGAGGUUAUUGUAAGUUUUCAUUUACAUGUUGUAUAAUCGAAGGGAAUGAUCAUGAAGAAACCAAGUGCUAAUCUUCAGGAAUAUCCAACCCCUUUUGAACACUUGAUAUGAGAUCAUGACAGGGCCAAGGCACAUGAGCCCUCCUUCUGUGAUAUUAUCAAUUUUUCUUGCCACUCA